rnacentral:rRNA from 1 species
GAUGAACGCUGGCGGCGUGCCUAAUACAUGCAAGUCGAGCGAACAGAUGAGGAGCUUGCUCCUCUGACGUUAGCGGCGGACGGGUGAGUAACACGUGGAUAACCUACCUAUAAGACUGGGAUAACUUCGGGAAACCGGAGCUAAUACCGGAUAAUAUAUUGAACCGCAUGGUUCAAUAGUGAAAGACGGUUUUGCUGUCACUUAUAGAUGGAUCCGCGCCGCAUUAGCUAGUUGGUAAGGUAACGGCUUACCAAGGCAACGAUGCGUAGCCGACCUGAGAGGGUGAUCGGCCACACUGGAACUGAGACACGGUCCAGACUCCUACGGGAGGCAGCAGUAGGGAAUCUUCCGAAAAGGGCGAAAGCCUGACGGAGCAACGCAGCGUGAGUGAUGAAGGUCUUCGGAUCGUAAAACUCUGUUAUUAGGGAAGAACAAAUGUGUAAGUAACUAUGCACGUCUUGACGGUACCUAAUCAGAAAGCCACGGCUAACUACGUG